rnacentral:rRNA from 1 species
GACGAACCGAGCGAACGUUAUUCGGAAUCACUGGGCUUAAAGGGUGCGUAGGCGGGCACGCGAGUCAGGGGUGAAAUCCCACGGCCCAACCGUGGAAGUGCCUCUAGAUACCGCGAGUCUCGAGGGGGAUAGGGGCGGUGCGGAACUUCCGGUGGAGCGGUGAAAUGACGUAGAUAUCGGAAGGAACACCGGUGGCGAAAGCGGCGCGCUGGAUCCCUACUGACGCUGAGGCACGAAAGCCAGGGGAGCAAACGG